GUCCCCGUAGCUCAAUGGAUAGAGCGCUUGUCUUCGGAACAAGAGGUUGCGGGUUCGAGUCCUGCCGGGGACGCAA
rnacentral:tRNA from 1 species